rnacentral:misc_RNA from 1 species
AAGUCGUAACAAGGUAACCGUAGGUGAACCUGCGGUUGGAUCAUUACAGAAUGUAUCCGGCCUUUGGCCGUUUUUUGUCUAUUCCUCUUUGCGGGGGAGUAGGCAAAAUCCUACCCACCUUUUGUGAACUGUGUUGUCUCUGGCAGUGGGAUCACCCUCAGCAGUUUCUGCUGUGUGUGAUCUGUCAGCUCUCGGAGUUUCCUUCUGGAAACUGCAAGAGCCGUGGACAAGCUGCCAACCACUUGUACAAAACAUUUUUCUUUUUUCAUAUCUGUCUUACAUUUUAGUAUUUAAAUAUACAAACAACUUUUGGCAACGGAUCUCUUGGCUCUC